rnacentral:misc_RNA from 1 species
GAUAAAGCAUGUAUCAAGAGGCUUCAAAAGGAAUAUAGAGCUCUUUGUAAAGAGCCUGUUUCACACAUCGUUGCUCGUCCUGCUCCCAGCGACAUUCUUGAGUGGCAUUAUGUUCUGGAGGGAAGUGAGGGAACUCCUUUUGCGGGAGGGUUCUACCAUGGAAAAAUUAAAUUUCCUCCAGAGUACCCAUUCAAACCUCCGGGAAUCAGCAUGAUCACCCCAAAUGGUCGGUUCAUGACACAGAAGAAAAUUUGCUUAUCUAUGAGUGACUUUCACCCAGAAAGUUGGAAUCCUAUGUGGUCCGUGUCCAGCAUACUAACCGGG